rnacentral:rRNA from 1 species
GAUGAACGCUGGCGGCGUGCCUAAUACAUGCAAGUCGAGCGAACGGACGAGAAGCUUGCUUCUCUGAUGUUAGCGGCGGACGGGUGAGUAACACGUGGAUAACCUACCUAUAAGACUGGGAUAACUUCGGGAAACCGUAGCUAAUACCGGAUAAUAUUUUGAACCGCAUGGUUCAAAAGUGAAAGACGGUCUUGCUGUCACUUAUAGAUGGAUCCGCGCUGCAUUAGCUAGUUGGUAAGGUAACGGCUUACCAAGGCAACGAUGCAUAGCCGACCUGAGAGGGGGAUCGGCCACACUGGAACUGGGACACGGUCCAGACUCCUACGGGAGGCAGCAGUAGGGAAUCGUCCGCAAUGGGCGAAAGCCUGACGGAGCAACGCCGCGUGAGUGAUGAAGGUCUUCGGAUCGUAAAACUCUGUUAUUAUGGAAGAACAUAUGUGUAAGUAACUGUGCACAUCUUGACGGUACCUAAUCAGAAAGCCACGGCUAACUACGUG